rnacentral:RNase_P_RNA from 1 species
CGAGUCGGCCGGGUGACCGCGGCAUCAUGGCGCAUCUUCGGAUGCACACGGUGUCGAGGAAAGUCGGGACUCCACAGGGCAGAGUGCUGGCGCGAGCCAGGUGGGGGCGACCUCACGGACAGUGCAACAGAGAAAGUCCGCCGAUGGAUUGGGCAACCAAUCACAGGUAAGGGUGCAACGGUGCGGUAAGAGCGCACCAGCAUGUCAGGCGACUGGCAUGGCUCGGUAAACCCCAUUCGGAGCAAGGCCGAGCAGAGGGGAUGGACGGCCCGUCUGUCCUUCGGGACACCCCUCGGGUAGGCCGCAGAGAUGGAUGGUCACCGCACGAUUUCGGUCGUGUACAGAAUCCCGCUUACAAGCCGACUCGCCGU